AGCAGUAUUGUGAAUUUUAUCUUCUCUUCCAGAAAUCAGUUGGUCUUCGUUGCAGCAGAUGAAAUUUCUUGUAACACCUCUGCAGUUACGGACGAGUUUAUGCUGCCGACCCCUACCACCACACACUUGCUCCAGCCCCCACCUACGGCGUUGGUGCCAUGAAUGCUUUUGCACCCCUGACUGAUGCCAAGACUAGGAGCCAUGCUGAGGAUGUGGGUCUCGUUCUUUCUUCAUUGCAGGCUAGUAUAUACCGAGGGGGAUACAACCGUUUCGCUCCAUACUAAGUGACACAAAACAAAACAAACAACCAUAAAAACCUUCCAAUGUGGGGGAGAACGAGGAAGCUUUCUGAGGCCUGGGUGUUGCAAUACAUGCAGUAGAGCAUCAUUUUAGCAACUCGAAAACAAAGCAAAUUAAUUAUGAGAAAA